AUGGAAAAUGAUUUAUACACUACAUUAUGUGCAUGUAAAGUUGUUUGUAAACAAACGAGUUUAUUGCUAGCAUAGAUGGAUUUGAAUGUUACCCAAAGUAUUUAGCUUGAUUCAAAGACACACAACGUUAAAUAUUUUGGGUAACAAACAAAUUGACUUUAUGCUCACACACAAACAUUUAAACACUCGUACACAAAAAUAUUCAUUGUGAUAGAUAUUAGAGAAAAACAGUAUGAAGAGGAGUUAAAAAAAACCCGUAUACUUAUAAAGAUAAAUGCUACUAAACACAAA